GUGAUGCUCUUCAAUUUAAAAACCGAUAAAGGUUGUAACCAGCUGGUAAUGUUUUGACAGAAAAAUGAACUUCUGUUGUAUAUUUGUAUACAUAAUUGAACAUUUUGAUAAGAUUUAAGAAAAGUACAUAACUUUGUGGUGUUGGGAAACUUAUUUCCCUCACCAGGAGAUUGUUGCAUACAUGUACAGGUGAUCACUUCCAGACAGAGGUAGUUACAAUACGUAUCUGUACAGGAAUGAGGAUUAUUUAUAAGACUGAAAUUAUUGUAUUAUUUGCUGGAAAUGUGGAAUAUGAGGAAUUUAAAGCCAUUCGUGAGUAGUUUUUGAUGAUUCAGCUGGACAAAUGCUGGAAAUUAUACAGUUUUCUCCCACCUUAAAACAGUACAUGGUAUAUCAUGGACACCAAAAGCAAACUAUAAAGAUCUAAAUGCCAUAAUUUUGUGCAUCUUGAAAACUAGAAAGGCGGAUCACUUUGAAGCAGAUGAUAGCGAUAGUGUUUAAAAGAAUUCUUUGCGACAGUUAUACCAGUUGGAACAGAUGAAAGAUACAUCAGAUGACAGACUUACAUAUAGAGGAGCCUAUAAUUAGAGAAAUGGAUCAACUUGAUUUUGAAGUUAACCUACUGCAUUAAUAUGAAAAUUCAUAAGUGACUGAGCUUAAAGAAAAUCACACAUGAAACUGUAACCAGUUUGGGAGACUCAUACAACAGAACAUUUCAAUACCUAUUAAUUUUUUUAUGUAUAUGUUUGACUUUUGGUAAUAUUUUGGAAGUUACUUUAGUAAUUGAGAGACUCAAUGUUGAAAAUGACAAUUUUGAAUUUGAUAGAGGACAAUUUUAAGAAUAUCAACUUAGUUGUUUAUGAAUCUUUAUUUUAGAAAAUAUUACUGGGUGUCUGAAAGAAUAUUUAAAAAUUUCUGAAACUAUUUAGAUAUUUAUCAUGUUUCAUGUGUUUAUAUAGGCAAAUAUUUAUACAUGUCAUUUAUGUUAUGCAAGGGUUUAUAUGAAUUUCUAAAAAGAUGUAUAUAUAUGUGUUGAUAAAAUAAGUUCCAAAUUAUUACAGAGUAACAGAAAAUGGGAUCAAUUUAUAUUAAAACAAAUCUGUUGAAAGGGAAUGAAAAGUCAAAAAUUGUAUUUUUUAAAAUAAUUGUGUUAACAUUUUUGUGCUAUUUAGAAAUAUGUACACAAAAAAAAUAAACUUUAAUAUAAGUAUCAAUGUAGUAUGCCCUUGUUUAUUUUUUGUUUUAUGCAGUACAUGCAUUUGAAUCUUGAUCAAAAUUUAUGGAUUGAAUUACUAAACAGAAUAAACUAAUUGUUAUGUUAA